UUGAUCCAGAGAUUUCCGAAUGGGACAACCCAAUAUCUUGAAGAGGUAUUAUCCAACGUUGUUGGAGGCUAACGCAGGGAACUGAAACAUCUUAGUACCUGCAGGAAAAGAAAAUAAACAAUGAUUCCCCCAGUAGUGGCGAGCGAACGGGGAACAGCCCAAACCAUCCAUGUUACGGCAUGGGUGGGGUUGUAGGACUACGCCGUUGCAUGAAGACAUCAGAGAAGAACUUUCUGGAAAGAAAGACCAUAGAGCAUGACAGUUGCGUAUUCGAAUGUUGUCGAAGCAUAGUAGUAUCCUGAGUAGCGCGGAGCACGAGGAAUUCUGCGUGAAUCUGCCGGGACCAUCCGGUAAGGCUAAAUACUCCCGAGAGACCGAUAGUGAACCAGUACCGUGAGGGAAAGGUGAAAAGCACUUCGAACAGAAGAGUGAAAUAGUUCCUGAAACCGUGCGCCUACAAGCGGUCGGAGCUCGUUGAUGAGUGACGGCGUGCCUUUUGCAUAAUGAACCUACGAGUUGCCUUUGCCGGCAAGGUUAAGUGUGACGACACACGUAUCCGAAGCGAAAGCGAGUCUGAAGAGGGCGUAUAGUCGGCAGUGGCAGACGCGAAACCAAGUGAUCUACCCUUGGCCAGGUUGAAGGCUGGGUAACACCAGCUGGAGGACCGCACCAAUAAGCGUUGAAAAGCUUCUGGAUGAGCUGAGGGUAGGGGUGAAAGGCUAAUCAAACUUGGAGAUAGCUCGUACUCCCCGAAAUGCAUUUAGGUGCAGCCUUGCGGGUUACUGAUGUGAGGUAGAGCGACUGAUAAGAUGCGAGGGCUUCACCGCCUAUCAAGUCUUGACAAACUCCGAAUGCGCAUCAGUUCUACCGCAGGAGUGAGGGCAUGGGUGCUAAGGUCCGUGCCCGAGAGGAGAAGAAUCCGGACCACCUGCUAAGGUCCCGAAAUGACAGCUAAGUUAAACUAACGAAGUCUGACUGCUAAGACAGCUAGGAUGUUGGCUUGGAAGCAGCCAUUCAUUUAAAGAGUGCGUAACAGCUCACUAGUCGAGGAGUCGGGCGUGGAUAAUAAUCGGGUAUGAAGUUGUCUACCGAAGCAGUGGGAUCAUUUAUAUGAUCGGUAGGGGAGCAUUCCAGUCGGCGUCGAAGGCGUACCGUGAGGUAUUCUGGAGCGUCUGGAAAAGCAAAUGUAGGUAUAAGUAACGAUAAAGGGGGCGGGAAACCCCCUCGCCGAAAGACUAAGGUUUCCUGAUCAACGCUAAUCGGAUCAGGGUCAGUCGGGUCCUAAGGCUCAGCCGAACGGCGAUGCCGAUGGCAGAAACGGUUAAUAUUCCGUUACUACCUUCAGGAGUGACGUGGAGACGCAGUAGUGACAGUGCCGCCAUCUGACGGAAUAGAUGGUUGAAGGGUGUAGGAGUCGAUCAUGGCAGGCAAAUCCACCAUGAGAUCCGAACCUGAUAGUAUGCCGCGUCCUUCGGGACAAGGCAAUAGUGCGCGUAAGCAUGCUGCCGAGAAAAUCCGCUAAACUUAAUCCUGCAGGUACCCGUACCGCAAACGGACACACGUAGUCGGGUUGAAUAUACUAAGGCGCUUGAGUGAUUCACGGUUAAGGAACUAGGCAAACUGACCCUGUAACUUCGGGAUAAAGGGUCCCUACCCUUUUAUGGGAGGGCGCAGAGAAUCGGUCCAGGCAACUGUUUAACAAAAACACAGGGCUGUGCCAAAUCGAAAGAUCCAGUAUACAGCCUGACACCUGCCCGGUGCUGGAAGGUUAAGAGGAGAUGUCAUCGAUAAGAGAAGCGUUGAAUUGAAGCCCCAGUAAACGGCGGCCGUAACUAUAACGGUCCUAAGGUAGCGAAAUUCCUUGUCGGGU
rnacentral:rRNA from 1 species